GGUUAAAAUAGAAAUACAGCUCAGUGAUUUGGAAGGAAACGCGGACCACCUUGGAGAUAUCCUUCCUAUCUCAUCACUGGAGCAUCCAAAUUGGAGCAAUUGCAGAGCUUCAGCAGGUUAAAAUGCCAAAGAAUUCUGAUACAGCUCAAGAUGAUAUUGGUUCGUAUGGAUAUGACAGCCAUGGAUGUUUUAAAGCCUCCAAGGCAGAUGGAC
rnacentral:misc_RNA from 1 species